GAGCACUUACGUUUAAAACUUUCCGUUCCGACAUCUUCGCUUCCUGUUCAACGAACAAGAGAAGAAAUUGUUCUCUUAGUCCUCGUGGAGUUUCUCGGAUCAGGAGCCUCAGUGUCGCCACUUCCUCAGCCGUCUUACUGGCUCCUGACCCUUGAGCCACAUAAACAAGGCCUUUUUGUCAUGAAGGCCUUGUUUAGGGGCCUGUGGAGAUGGUGAAGCCUUGGAGGAAUGAGGUCCUGAGGUGUGCUGUGUGCACACAAACACAGACGAGCCCCGAGUCACUCACUCCAUGGACGCGAUGGACAAAGCGAUAAAGAGGCACUCCUGUGCUGGAGCACAGGCUGUUCAAGCUGAGGACCCAGCAGCUACACUGCGUACCUUACUCCUCCUGCUUCAGAUGCUCUGGCGCCGUCUUCUGGCCUCAGUGGGCACUGCACAUACCCAUACUUAUAUUUGAAAAUAAAAUUAAAGUAUUUAAAA